UACGUAGGGUGCAAGCGUUGUCCGGAAUUAUUGGGCGUAAAGAGCUCGUAGGCGGUUUGUUGCGUCGGCUGUGAAAUCCCGAGGCUCAACCUCGGGUCUGCAGUCGAUACGAGCAAACUAGAGUGUUGCAGGGGAGACUGGAAUUCCUGGUGUAGCGGUGAAAUGCGUAGAGAUCGGGAGGAACACCAGAGGCGAAGGCGGCGACCUGGACAGGCACUGACACUCAACUACGAAAGCGUGGGGAGCAAACAGG
rnacentral:rRNA from 1 species